GCCAGGCGUGGUGGUGCGUGCCUGUAGUCCCAGCUACUUGGGAGGCUGAGUCAGGAGAAUCGCUUGAACCCAGGAGGCGGAGGUUGCAGUGAGCCAAGACUGCACCACUGCACUCCAGCCUGGGCAACAAAGCGAGACUCUGACUCAA
ensembl:misc_RNA Metazoa_SRP Metazoan signal recognition particle RNA